rnacentral:rRNA from 1 species
GACGAACGCUGGCGGCGUGCCUAAUACAUGCAAGUAGGACGCUGAAGGAGGAGCUUGCUUCUCUGGAUGAGUUGCGAACGGGUGAGUAACGCGUAGGUAACCUGCCUGGUAGCGGGGGAUAACUAUUGGAAACGAUAGCUAAUACCGCAUAAUAGUAGAUGUUGCAUGACAUUUGCUUAAAAGGUGCAAUUGCAUCACUACCAGAUGGACCUGCGUUGUAUUAGCUAGUUGGUGGGGUAACGGCUCACCAAGGCGACGAUACAUAGCCGACCUGAGAGGGUGAUCGGCCACACUGGGACUGAGACACGGCCCAGACUCCUACGGGAGGCAGCAGUAGGGAAUCUUCGGCAAUGGACGGAAGUCUGACCGAGCAACGCCGCGUGAGUGAAGAAGGUUUUCGGAUCGUAAAGCUCUGUUGUAAGAGAAGAACGAGUGUGAGAGUGGAAAGUUCACACUGUGACGGUAGCUUACCAGAAAGGGACGGCUAACUACGUG